UUAAAGAUCUCGUCGAGAACGGGUGUGCGCGCAAAGGAAUCUUUUGUAAGAAGUGCCAUCAUAGGAAAAUUCCAUUGUGAAACAACUCGACACGGUACGGAAAAGACAUACCUUUCGGUUGAUCGCGAUAUUUUGGCUCACGCACCCGCUGAUUCCCUUGCUCGUACAAGUGGAGUGACGGGGCACGGGAGUCUCGCGACAGAUCCCGCUCGGAGGAAAGACGCCACAGCUUGUCAGGGAGAAAAUUCCCACAAAAGUUCUGUGGCUCCACAUACAAGGAGUAGGUCGAAGUUAGGAAUUCUGAGUUGUAGCAAGAGAUAGAGUCUCCGUACUGUAAACCACCUUUCCGAAUUAACGCUUGUUUUCAGCCUACGCCGGAAGAUCGAUCUUUCGUCGUUGGAAAUUGAACAGUGAGUGAGUAAGCAUACCUUCCAAAAGUUGAAAUGUACGUAGUUUUGAAAACCAACUGAUCCUUGCCCAACCUCACGAAUUUGAAACCUCUGCCCCCUGCCUAUUGAGGCUUUGCCUUGAGCGAUCUGAUCGUUGGCAUCUCGUUAGAGAUGCCAUCUGCAUCCGGUCAUCGACUGAACUCCGCAUAGGAGUUUUUCGACUUGAUUUUCGACUUAUUCGGAAGUUAAAAGAUUUAAUGAUUUUUCCACAUUGGUGCGAAAAGCGAAAGUAACGAACUUAAAGUAUUCAAUGAUUUUCCCAUGUUAUGCGAAAAGCGAAAUUUAUGAAUUUAAUUAGAAUUUAACCCGAAUUACAGUCUUAUUAUAUAUAUACUCAUUACAUUAUCAAAUAUCCUUAUAUACCCAACCAUUACGAAUCACCUAUUUUUAGUAGUUAUUAAGAUCAUUUACUAUGUUGCCAUAUCGGAUUUAAUUUUUGUUUUAAGGAAAUAAUGUUGAAGUUUAGAUAGAAGAACAAAAUGGACUCAAUGCUA